rnacentral:rRNA from 1 species
AUACGGAGGAUGCAAGCGUUAUCCGGAUUUAUUGGGUUUAAAGGGUGCGUAGGCGGAUGAUUAAGCGUGAGGUGAAAUGCCACUGCUCAACAGUGGAACUGCCUCGCGAACUGGUUGUCUUGAAUGCUCCUGCCGUGGGAGGAGUGUGUGGUGUAGCGGUGAAAUGCAUAGAGAUCACACAGAACACCGAUUGCGAAGGCAUCUCACGAAGGGGUGAUUGACGCUGAGGCACGAAAGCGUGGGCAUCAAACAGGAUUAGAUUCCCUGGUAGUCCACGCAGUAAACGAUGAUAACUAACCGCUGGGUCGUAGUGAUUCAGUGGCCAAGCGAAAGCGAUAAGUUAUCCCCCUGGGGAGUACGACCGCAAGGUUGAAACUCAAAUGAAUUGACGGGG